rnacentral:rRNA from 1 species
CUCCACCGCUUGUGUGAGCCCCCGUCAAUUUCUUUGAGUUUUAGCCUUGCGACCGUACUCCCCAGGCGGUGUACUUAACGUUCUUACUUCGACCACAAUGACGUAUUAGUCUCCGCGAUCCAGUACACAUAGUUUAGGGCGUGGACUACCGGGGUAUCUAAUCCCGUUUGCUCCCCACGCUUUCGUGCAUCAGCGUCAGAAUAGGCCCAGUCACCUGUCUUCGCCAUCGGCGUUCCUCUAGAUAUCUACGCAUUUCACCGCUCCACCUAGAGUUCCAGUGACCCCUACCUACCUCAAGAUCCCCAGUCUACCGAGCAAUUCCAUGGUUGAGCCAUGGGAUUUCACAAGGCACUUGAAGAUCCGCCUACGCACCCUUUAAGCCCAGUGAUUCCGAUUAACGCUCGAGGCCUCUGUACUACCGCGGCUGCUGGCACAGAGUUAGCCGCCUCUUCCUCUGGGUCUCCUCAAUGUUUUGGUAGACCCUGACAGCAGUUUACACCCCGA